rnacentral:rRNA from 1 species
UACGUAGGGGGCAAGCGUUGUCCGGAAUUAUUGGGCGUAAAGAGCGCGUAGGCGGUCCGAUAAGUCGGCUGUGAAAGUCAAGGGCUCAACCCUUGAAAGCCGGCCGAUACUGUCGGACUAGAGUCCGGAAGAGGCGAGUGGAAUUCCCGGUGUAGCGGUGAAAUGCGCAGAUAUCGGGAGGAACACCAAUAGCGAAGGCAGCUCGCUGGGACGUUACUGACACUGAGGCACGAAGGCCAGGG